CUUGAAACACCGCUUCCCGUACGUUCACCGAAGUUAAGCAACUUCGAACCUGGUCAGUACCUAGAUACGUAACCGCUUUGUAAUAACAGGUGCUGUAAG